rnacentral:rRNA from 1 species
AACGAACGCUGGCGGCAGGCCUAACACAUGCAAGUCGAGCGAGGACUUCGGUCCUAGCGGCGGACGGGUGAGUAACGCGUGGGAACGUGCCCUUUGGUACGGAAUAGCCCCCGGGAAACUGGGAGUAAGUACCGUAUGGUGUCUUCGGACUAAAGAUUUAUCGCCAAAGGAGUCGGCCCGGCGUUGGAUUAGGUAGUUGGUGGGGUAAUGGCCUACCAAGCCGACGAUCCAUAGCUGGUUUGAGAGGAUGAUCAGCCACACUGGGACUGAGACACGGCCCAGACUCCUACGGGAGGCAGCAGUGGGGAAUCUUAGACAAUGGGGGCAACCCUGAUCUAGCCAUGCCGCGUGAGUGAUGAAGGCCCUAGGGUUGUAAAGCUCUUUCAGCUGGGAAGAUAAUGACGGUACCAGCAGAAGAAGCCCCGGCUAACUCCGUAGCCAGCAGUCCGCGGU